UGCUGCUUAUAAGCUGUGCAACUCAGGCAAACUGCUGAGCUCAUAGAUACAGGGGCCAGGCUCAGUGAGGAGACAUCUGCAAAGUCCCUUCCACAGUGCUUGGCACAAGUGGGGCUCCGUGAAUGGGAAGCAUCGUCCAAACAGCACAGGGGAGUCCAAGUGAGCGCCUCCUGCUGGGAAACUCUGGCAGGCCAUGCUUACGUGUGGCGCUCCUGGGCUCUGGGAAGGGGAGGGCCCGUGGUGUACACCUCUGGGGUGGCUGAGUGGAAAUUCCUGCAGAGCAGCGUGAUGCUGCGCUGGAUGUGGGGGCAACACUCCCCUGCUGCCUGGUCCAGCACACCUGGCCGGCUCCUCCUCCUUCUACCUGCUUUGCUGCCUCCUCCCUUUGGCCAGCCUCCCCAGGAUUUUUGGUUGCGGCACCCUGGCUGCUGCACGCGUCUUCAGGCGGCUGCAUUUGGUAAUGGGCUGGAUGAUGCUUGGUGGUCACUUUGGAGAAGGCAGCUGUGCUGCUCCGGCCCCGGGGUCCCCUGACCACCAGCGCUGCUCCCUUUGACCUGAAUCUCUUGUCUUCCCAGGCUAUCCCUCCCUCAUGCGGAGCCAAAGCCCCAAGGCCCAGCCCCAGACUUGGAAAUCUGGCAAGCAGACUAUGCUGUCUCACUACCGGCCAUUCUACGUCAACAAAGGCAAUGGAAUUGGGUCCAACGAAGCCCCAUGAGCUCCUGGAGGAAGGAACGAGGCACCACACCCCUGCUCUUCCUUCUGACCCUGCUGCUCUUGCCUUCUAAGCUACUGUGCUUAUCUGGGUGGGAGGGAGCCUGGUCCUGCACCUGCCCUCUGCAGCCCUCUGCCAGCCUCUUGGGGGCAGUUCUGGCCUCUCCAACUUCCCCACUGGCCACACUCCAUUCAGACUUCUUUCCUGCCUUGUGACCUCAGAUGGUCACCAUUGUUCCUGUGCUCAGUGGCCACCCCAUCACAGGGGUGAGAUAGGUGGGGCCUGCCCUAACCCACCACCCUCCUCCUCUCGGGCUGGAUCUGGGGGCUAGCAGUGAGUACCCGCAUGGUAUCAGCCUGCCUCUCCCGCCCACGCCCUGCUGUCUCUAGGCCUAUAGACCUUUCUCUCCAAGGCCCCAUCCCCCAAUGUUGUCAGCAGGUGCCUGGACAGCACAGCCACCCAUCUCCCAUUCACAUGGCCCACCUCCUGCUUCCCAGAGGACUGGCCCUACAUGCUCUCUCUGAUCCUACCUAUCAAUGCCCAGCAUGGCAGAACCCGCAGCCCUUGGCCACUGCAGACGGAAACCUUUCAGUGUCUUGACAUCACCCUAGCCAGGCAGUGGGUCUCCACCACAGCCACUUUGAGUCUGUGGUCCCUGGAGGGUGGCUUUUCCUGACUGGCAGAAUGACCUUAGCCAAGAUAUUCCUCUCUUCCCUCUGCUGGGAUAAAGAAUUCCCCUAACACGAUAUAAUCCACACAUGAAAAUAGCUACUGGCCUAGCUACCAUUUACCAGCCACUAUACCAUUUGCCUACAGAAUUUCAUGCAGUCUAUAAUUUGGCAUUCUUUCUGACGAUGGAGAGUGUGGCUGGGCUGACCGCAAAGGGUGCCUUACACACUGCCCCCACCCUCAGCCAUUGCCCCAUCAGAGGCUGCCUCCUCCUUCUGAUUACCCCCCAUGUUGCAUAUCAGGGUGCUCAGGGAUUGGAGAGGAGACAAAACCAGGAGCAGCACGGUGGGGACAUCUCCCAUCUCAACAGCCCCAGGCCUAUGGGGGCUCUGGAAGGAUGGGCCAGCUUGCAAGGGUUGGGGAGGGAGACAUCCAGCUUGGGCUUUCCCCUUUGGAAUAAACCAUUGGUCUGUCA